CAGAGGAUCUUCCUGACCUAGGGAUCAAAUCCUGGUUUCCUGCAUUGCCGGGAGAUUCUUUACCGGUUGAACUACAGGGAAGUCCUGUAAUGUAUACAUUAUCAUAAUUUUUAAAAACUCUAUACAAUAGCUGUCUUUUGAGAGGUAGGAUGGGGUUUUGGUGAGGAAGAGCCAUAGCCAUUUGUCGUCAUUUUACCCAUUUUCUACAAUGUUAAUGGAAUUUUGGGAGUUACACAAAAUUGUAAAUUUUAAGUGUUGUAUAGAUAUUUGUUUUUUGAUUUUUUGGAGGGAGAUAAUAUUCAAGUACCAAUGUGGGAAGGAUAGGGUGAAAUCAGGAAAACCUGAUGGCAAUAGAAAGCUAUGGGGAACAGUUAUUAUAGUCAAAUUUAAUCAAACUCAUGGGGUUGGACUCCAGCCUCUAAGAAUAUUUGCAAAUUAGCUUCAAUAAUUUAUAGGAAAUCUUUCUCACUUUUCCAGUGUCUCUAAGAUUGAGAAAUACAGCAAUAACUCAAUUCAAACAACUGACAUCUUGGUAUCCUCACAUUAUUGUGAUUCUCAAGAGCUUUCAGUUUACCUGGACUCACUGUACCUCUCAGUUUAUUUUCUAUCCAGUAUUGGAACUGGACAUGGAUUAUUUUCUUUCUCCCAUUUUAGGUCAACCUCGGCCUUAUACUAUUACAUAGCAUUAUCCAACUUACAGAUUUAGACACGUGAAGUCCAAAGUACAUUCUACCUGGAGAAGAGGAAAAGUGGUAGAAAACUGGAAGAGAGAUGGAGGGAAUGAGCAUCCAUUGAGUACAUCUCUAAAGCUGUACUGUUGAUUUUAAAAAGGUUAUAUCAUUUAAUAUUUGUGAAAACCCUAUGAGGUAUAUAUUGCCAUUUUCUGUUGUAUAAGUUAAUAAAAAGAGACUUGGAGAGCUUCGAUAACAUUCCCAAAGUUAACUCAAACAAUAAGAAAAUUGAAUUUAAAUUUAGAGUUCAGGUGGUCUAAGUCUGUUCAGAGGUUGUUUUCUGACCUUCCAGGGGUGGUUAGCCCUGAGCUUAGCUUAAUUUUAACCAGAAUAUUGUCAGAAAUUGACUUUUGAUUAAGAUAAGAAUGUAUCACUAGAUUUACUAAUUUCUUCAUGCACAUUUUUCCAGUUGCUGUGACAAAGAUGCUUUACCAAGUGGAGAACUGAUCCACACUUUGCCAACAGGAAACAGGAUUCACACUCUACAGUUGCUUCUAGUGCCUAACUAUACUAUGAGAGGAUAAACAGAUUCAAAUUCUGUAUUUUGAAAUUUAGAGCUGUAGGAUAAAACAUCACAAAUUCAGUGCUGAUUAUGUUUAGAUGUUAAGUCUAUUCUUGCUGCCAAAUGACAAAACAAAAUAGUGAUGAUCAUUGAAUUUGCACCAAGGCACUCUUUGUGCUUACUUAUUCAUGAAUGCUACACUGAUUUUUUUUCCCAACUCAUAAAAGGUUUAUAAGAAUACAAGGGGGAACAUACUGAAAAGUUUUUAAAUAUUUAGUAAUCAAAUGGCAAGUUUUCAAAUUAUGCAAGAAAAUUAAAGCCAUCUUUCUUGUUCAAUGCAACAAACCUGCAUUAGAAUUUUGAAGUAGUUCGUUGCUUAAAGAGAUCAAAAUCCUGUGUUUAGAAUUUGCUUCUUUUAUGUAGGGAUAUGGAAAAGAGUCAAUAAGUUUCUAAAUCUACAUAAGGCAAGCGUUUGUUAGAAUAUCACUUCCUCCAAUUUCUCUAUCCCAAGCUGACCUAUUUAACUGACCAGUCUCUAAACUUGUGUUUUCACUUAUUAUGAGAAGCACUUGACCAUUGAGAUGACUGUUAGCUACUAAUACUUGAAGAAAGUUUUAGAGACCUGAAGAAAGAAAGAUACUUCAAACUUCAUUCUUUGCAGUAUCCAGAGCAGUGCUUCUCAACAUUGGUUACAGACAUGAAGAUAAAGGAGUUUGAUCAUUUGUGGCCUGUUUGACCAGUCAGCUUCACUCUGCUCUGAGCCCAGGCCCGUAUUUCUCAUCUCACCACACCCAUAAGUGCUUUCUGACUUGGAAAUGGAGAUUAAAUUUAGACCCUGCCUCAUGCAUGCUGACCACUCAGGGCUCAAUUACUCCUUCUGGAACCCUGACCUUAGGAGUCACUCCAAGUCUCUGCUGUGAGGUCUUCUCACAAGGGGCUCCAAAUGACUCUGGGCUGUUUAUUUUUCAAUAUACUUUCAGAAGCAUUUCCUACCCAAAGAUGUCAGAAACAUGUACUAGUGGCUCUGAGGCACUUUCUGAAAGAGAGGUGAUGGACAAAUUGAAGAAUUCCUGACACCUUGGAUGGUGAAUUGGUGUAAGAAGAGGGGAGAAUAAAAGAACAAAAGGAGUGAGAUUUGGCUGAGUGCUUCCCCACAGUGGAAGGAAAAUUUAAGAAAGUUGCUCCAGUUUGGACCCUGUGGAUGGCUUAUAACUUGGAGAAAGGUAAUGUGUGUAUGUAUGUUUGAGUGUGAGUAUGUGUGAGUGUGUGUGUUUGUGUGUAUGUAUGUGUGCAGGUACCUUUCAUGAAUUGGAACAUUUGGGGGGCUUUGGGACAUCUUAGAUGGAGAGAAAAAACAAAGUAGAGAGAACAUUUUGCUAUCACCUCCAAAUUUCUCCUUCCUGAACAAAACAAGAAAUCUCUGUGCUGUGAUUGGCAGGAAUAGGUAAUUACAUUGGAACCACUUUUUUUUUUUUGUAAUUAUUGCUUUGUAUGAACAAAUCUCAGAAUUACCAUAAAUGUAGAUGGGAGUUAUACAUUAAUUCAGCCACUGGGUCUGAGACUAAUAUUUGUAUAUGCAUGUGAGCUCUACUGGGGCUCUCAGAAAUAUUUUGGGAAAUAGACUUUGUAAAAGACUGGAUAAUCAAGCAGGAGAAAAGCUCAUGGUCAUUGGAUUUUGGGCAUUAAGUGUUAAAAUGACUUAAUUUGUACUCAUAGGAUGUGUGUCUUUGUGUGUGUGUAUUAUGAGAUUAUAUGUUUUUUGACAAUAUGUAUAGCACGGAUGUAACUUAUUUUUCACAAGUAGCUUUGUUAACCUGCUUUAUCCAUUCAACCAUAUGUCAUUGAUAGGGUAUAACAGCCAAUAAAAAUAUUAUUAGUAAUCCACAGUUGGAAAGAAUUAAUACAUUUGAAAAUUGGAGGUAUUCACUACUGGCUUGUCUGAUCAGGCCCAAUUUACUUAGCAAAGAAGUAUCCAAACAUUUAAGUAUGCAAGUAUAUAAAGCCAAAUGAGACAUCAUUUAAUUCCUUUAUUGUCUUACAGUGAAAGACAGCAAAUGAGCAAGUUGAUGGCUUUAUGCCAAUUAUUUUUACUACGAUUUCUUUUAUGCUAAGGUAUAGCUGAAGGCAAGCCCUCAAAUUCUAGCACGAACAUGCAGCAGCAAUAACAUGAAUAUUUUAGGGGCUAUAAGAUUCUUUUCAUGGGUUAUUGUUGGAAAUAAAAAAUUUAAGUUGCAACUGCUUUGCCAAGUGUCAUAAAUGACUGGGACUAAAUGUAAGAGUUUGUGUGGCCUCAAUCCCAGACUCAUUUUUAAAAGACCCAAGUACUAGGUGGCUCCAUUGCACAAUGGAUAGCGCAUUGGACUUCUAAAAGACCCAAGUUCUAGGUGUUCAAGGCCCUCCACAGUGCCAUCCUCUUUCUUCCUAUCUUUCUAAUCUUUUAUCAUUCACCAUACUUAAUGCAGUUCUGCAUCUCCUUCCAGUCACAUAGACUUACCUAACAGAACAUGCAUUUUCACAUUCAAGGAAUAUGGCCUAAGGACCAUCUUCAAAUAUCAAAGCCAACAACCUUGCAGUACCACGAUGGCAAGAAACUCAGACAACUGAAGCUGACUAGCUGAGUCCCAGAGAACAAGGCUAUUGUCACGACACCCAGCAUGACAGCAUGACCCCCUACAUUUCCUCUGGUCCUCUACCAGACUGCACACUUUCCUUCACAUAGUCCUGCUGCAGAUCGUGUCUAUUGGUCGGAACAGUGACCACAGCAGGGACCAACAAAGAUACCUUUCCGGUCCGAACGUGGGAACAUCCUGUGCUUGUUGGGGGUGUCCAUUCCCAUUGAAAGGGAGACAUGAUUAAUCUUGAGGAGAAUUAGAGUAUUUUACCUACUUGUUUAAGGGUGAUUUUUCCCAUUCUAGGGGAAAAAAAAUUACAGUAUUUCAGUGUUUAAAGCACAUCAAGAAUUAAUGAACAUCAUUCUUUUUUUCUUACCAAAGGCACGUUACUGCUUAAAACCACAAAGUGCUGACCUAGCCAGUGAUUCCAGAACCCAGGGCCUCAGCAUAGCAUUUUAAAGACUCAUCCUCAUAAUAAAUUACUAUUUUAAUGAUAGCCCUGGUAACACAUGGUAAAUGGAAAGCACUUUCUGUAGAUUAAGCAACAUAGCUCCCAUUAUUGGUUUAACUAUACUUGAGACCUUAAAAAGAUUUAAAUAACUGUUCGUUUGAUGCAGUUUCUGCUGAAUUAUUUAAAAACACCUCCUUACUGCUUUAACUUUGAAUCUGCAUUAGAAAGUAUAAUGCCAAUUAGGAUUCCUCCACUGCCUCAAAUGCUCUAAAUAUAAAUACAAACUGAAUCUACCCACAAAUACAAUUUCUCUCUUUACACUAUGAUCUUUCAUCCUAAACUUAGGCAAAAAAAAGCCCAAAAAUUUACAGGAGAGAGUCAGAAAAUUAGGAAAUAAUUAAAGUAACAAAAAUUAAGGCCUAAUGGAUAGCUUUUUGGAAGUGCUAAAGACACAUGGUUCAGAGUUGUGCAUUUAGAUAGAAAACUCAGUGUUUACAUUUGACUAGUACAAGUUCAAGAAUUACAUAAUGUAAAAUAUAAAUGUAAGUACUUAUAUAAGUACUUAUAUAAAACCAUAAAUGAAAGAUAUUGGCUCAGUUGGUUGAUUUGAAUUUUAUUUACUGUAAUAAUCAAAAGUGAAAAUCAGAUGCAAGGCAUACCUUUGGUUGACCAUGUUUUAUUUUUGUUUAGUUUUUGCAAAGCUGAAUGUUUCUCCUGCUCCCCUUGCCUGCCCCCGCCACUUACUUCCCAUUAAAUGAAACUUAGAUAUUAACUUUAAGCCUCCAUCUGUUUCAUAUUCCUUAUACAUACUUUGGCUCCCAAGAAACCUUUCUACAGCCCACUUCUCCUACCUGGAAUGCUUGUUUCUUGCUGCCUCAUGUCCCUUCCUCUCUAUUCAAAGCACUCUACUUAAGGAAGCUCUUCCACAAAAGAAUUCUCAGUGAAUCUCUUCUGGUUCCAGGCCUUCUUAUCUCCCUAUUAGGACUGCGCCUUAUGUGGUUGUUCAGUUGCUAAGUCACGUCCAACUCUUUGUGACCCCAUGGACUGCAGCACUCCAGGCUUCCCUGUCCUUCACUCUCCCGGAGUUAGCUCAAACUCAUGUCCAUUAAGUCGGUGA